rnacentral:rRNA from 1 species
AUUGAACGCUGGCGGCAGGCCUAACACAUGCAAGUCGAGCGAGCGGCGGGCGGGUGAGUAAAGUCUGGGAAACUGCCUGAGGGAGGGGGAUAAAUCCUGGAACCGGUGGCUAAUACCACAUACCAUCAGAUGUGCCCAGCUGGGAUUAGCUCGUAGGGGGGGUAACGGCUCACCUAGACGACGCUCCCUAGCUGGUCUGAGAGGAUGUACAGCCACACUGGAACUGAUGCACGUUCCAGACUCGUAAGGGAGGAAGAAGUGGGGAAUAUUGCACACUGGGCGCAAGCCUGAUGCAGCCCUGCCGCGUGUAUGAAGAAGGCCUUCGGGUUGUAAAGCACUUUCAGCGGGGAGGCGUUACGCGCAGAAGAAGCACCGGCUAACUCCGUGCCAGCAGCCGCGGUAAUUC